CCUUUGGAGUGUUAUACCAAAUGUUAGUAGGCUAUAGAGUGCCAAGGACAGACACGCUGAAAAAGGAA
rnacentral:sRNA from 1 species